ACUUACGGCCGUGUCACCCUGAAUGUGCCUGAUCUCAUCAGAUCCUGGAAGCUAAGCAGGGUCAGGCCUGGUGACUACCUGGAUGGGAGAAGAGGAGGAGUUGCCUCACAGAUGCUCUAGUUG
ensembl:rRNA 5S_rRNA 5S ribosomal RNA